GGUGGCUCAGUGGUAGAGUGCUUGCCUCACAUGCAUGAGGUCCUGGGUUCAAUUCCUCAGCACCA
rfam:Dipodomys ordii contig_56422, whole genome shotgun sequence.